rnacentral:rRNA from 1 species
UUGAACGCUGGCGGCAGGCCUAACACAUGCAAGUCGAGCGGCAGCGGGAAAGUAGCUUGCUACUUUUGCCGGCGAGCGGCGGACGGGUGAGUAAUGCCUGGGGAUCUGCCCAGUCGAGGGGGAUAACUACUGGAAACGGUAGCUAAUACCGCAUACGCCCUACGGGGGAAAGCAGGGGACCUUCGGGCCUUGCGCGAUUGGAUGAACCCAGGUGGGAUUAGCUAGUUGGUGAGGUAAUGGCUCACCAAGGCGACGAUCCCUAGCUGGUCUGAGAGGAUGAUCAGCCACACUGGAACUGAGACACGGUCCAGACUCCUACGGGAGGCAGCAGUGGGGAAUAUUGCACAAUGGGGGAAACCCUGAUGCAGCCAUGCCGCGUGUGUGAAGAAGGCCUUCGGGUUGUAAAGCACUUUCAGCGAGGAGGAAAGGUUGGUAGCUAAUAACUGCCAGCUGUGACGUUACUCGCAGAAGAAGCACCGGCUAACUCCGUG